UAGAGCACUCAAUCUAAGUCGCUCUGGAUAAGAGCGUCUGCUAAAUGACUUAAA
rfam:Salmo salar isolate Sally breed double haploid chromosome ssa25, whole genome shotgun sequence.